AUUGAACAUAAGAGUUUGAUCCUGGCUCAGAUUGAACGCUGGCGGCAUGCUUUACACAUGCAAGUCGGACGGCAGCACAGGGAAGCUUGCUUCUCGGGUGGCGAGUGGCGAACGGGUGAGUAACAUAUCGGAACGUACCGGGUAGCGGGGGAUAACUGAUCGAAAGAUCAGCUAAUACCGCAUACGUCUUGAGAGGGAAAGCAGGGGACCUUCGGGCCUUGCGCUAUCCGAGCGGCCGAUAUCUGAUUAGCUGGUUGGCGGGGUAAAGGCCCACCAAGGCGACGAUCAGUAGCGGGUCUGAGAGGAUGAUCCGCCACGCUGGGACUGAGACACGGCCCAGACUCCUACGGGAGGCAGCAGUGGGGAAUUUUGGACAAUGGGCGCAAGCCUGAUCCAGCCAUGCCGCGUGUCUGAAGAAGGCCUUCGGGUUGUAAAGGACUUUUGUCAGGGAAGAAAAGGCCGUUGCCAAUAUCGGCGGCCGAUGACGGUACCUGAAGAAUAAGCACCGGCUAACUACGUGCCAGCAGCCGCGGUAAUACGUAGGGUGCGAGCGUUAAUCGGAAUUACUGGGCGUAAAGCGGGCGCAGACGGUUACUUAAGCAGGAUGUGAAAUCCCCGGGCUCAACCCGGGAACUGCGUUCUGAACUGGGUGACUCGAGUGUGUCAGAGGGAGGUGGAAUUCCACGUGUAGCAGUGAAAUGCGUAGAGAUGUGGAGGAAUACCGAUGGCGAAGGCAGCCUCCUGGGAUAACACUGACGUUCAUGUCCGAAAGCGUGGGUAGCAAACAGGAUUAGAUACCCUGGUAGUCCACGCCCUAAACGAUGUCAAUUAGCUGUUGGGCAACUUGAUUGCUUGGUAGCGUAGCUAACGCGUGAAAUUGACCGCCUGGGGAGUACGGUCGCAAGAUUAAAACUCAAAGGAAUUGACGGGGACCCGCACAAGCGGUGGAUGAUGUGGAUUAAUUCGAUGCAACGCGAAGAACCUUACCUGGUUUUGACAUGUGCGGAAUCCUCCGGAGACGGAGGAGUGCCUUCGGGAGCCGUAACACAGGUGCUGCAUGGCUGUCGUCAGCUCGUGUCGUGAGAUGUUGGGUUAAGUCCCGCAACGAGCGCAACCCUUGUCAUUAGUUGCCAUCAUUCGGUUGGGCACUCUAAUGAGACUGCCGGUGACAAGCCGGAGGAAGGUGGGGAUGACGUCAAGUCCUCAUGGCCCUUAUGACCAGGGCUUCACACGUCAUACAAUGGUCGGUACAGAGGGUAGCCAAGCCGCGAGGCGGAGCCAAUCUCACAAAACCGAUCGUAGUCCGGAUUGCACUCUGCAACUCGAGUGCAUGAAGUCGGAAUCGCUAGUAAUCGCAGGUCAGCAUACUGCGGUGAAUACGUUCCCGGGUCUUGUACACACCGCCCGUCACACCAUGGGAGUGGGGGAUACCAGAAGUAGGUAGGGUAACCGCAAGGAGCCCGCUUACCACGGUAUGCUUCAUGACUGGGGUGAAGUCGUAACAAGGUAGCCGUAGGGGAACCUGCGGCUGGAUCACCUCCUUUCUAG
rnacentral:rRNA from 1 species